AUCAGGCCAGAAUUGAACACAAUGAGCUGCAGAAUGCAAUUUCACAUAAGAGCCUUAAUUUCAAUGCCACAAGUUUCAAUGUGCUAAAGAAUCAGCAGUAAAAUUCUUCUCCAUAGGUAGUCCGUACGUUCUACUGUUUCGACGACUAACGUCUGUUCGGACAGGAAAUCAUGUUAGAGAUGAAACUUUAGCUUAAAAAAGUUGAAUAUACAUACACAUAUUUCAU
rnacentral:misc_RNA from 1 species